rnacentral:lncRNA from 1 species
CUUAAGCCCACGUUUUCAUUUCCACUUGUGAAGAAAGAUUAAGCCACGUUAAUACAUGAGGUGUAGCUCCUAUCUCUUAAGAGUUCAUCCCUAUCUCUUAAUUUUUAUUUAAAUUUUUCAUUUAAUUUUAAUAACAUUUUUAUCUAGAUAUUUUUGUGAUCUCAAAAAUAUUUUUCUUUUAUUUUUCUGAGAUAUAAAUUUAUACUGUUGAGUAAACUACUGUUCGAAAUUCGGUAGAAUUUUAAGCUCAAACUUUUACCAUAGCUUACUAAAAUAUUUUAUAAUUGAUAUCUAAAGUUACUUUCCUUAAAUUCACAGUCUAGAGAUUAUAUCGAUAAUUAUCAAUCUACAUAAGGUAAAAUACUAUCAAAGCACACAUAAAAUAAUUCUGAAAUAUUAGGAUAUCACAAUGACAUAUUUUUAUAAACUAUUUAUUUUUAACGGUGUAUACUUUUACACUGCCAGUUCUAAAAUUUCAACCAUAGCCUACACUAAAUUAAUAUAUUAGAUUUAUAGGUUUCCUUUAUCUAAAGUUCAUUUCUAAGAAAAUAAUUACUUAAAC